CUGGGCACCAAGGCGUUGGCUCCACGGACUAUAAAGAUUCACCCCCCCCCCCCCCAGACACUGCGACCGCCUUAGUUUUCAAACCUUUCACAGUUCAUUCAGAAUCACCCGGAACAACGGCCACCAAUGAUGUGAGCCGUGGGGGGAGGGGUCACUGUGGACUGGACACGAGUGUUGUGUGCCGUGACGUGCUAGUGUGAGUGUGGAAAAUACACCGUUCUUGUUGUGGACAUUCCAGAAGAGGACUGAGAAGAAAACACCCAGCGAGAGAAUUAUCAUAUUCCCCCGGAAAACUUCCACUUCGUAUUCUUAGUUUGGAGUUGCAGUUUUAUAGCGCCCCCUGCUGGUCUGGUAUCUCCAGGUCUCCCAUUAUAGAAGGUUAUCUCACUACCAUAGUGCCCCCUGCUGGUCUGGUAUUCCUAGGUCUCCUAUUAUAGAAGGUUAUCUCACCACCAUAGUGCCCACUGCUGGUCUGGUAUCCCCAGGUCUCCCAUUAUAGAAGGUUAUCUCACCACCCUAGUGCCCCCCGCUGGUCUGGUAUCCUCAGGACUCCUAUUAUAGAAGGUUAUCUCACCACCAUAGUGCCCCCUGCUGGUCUGGUAUGCCCAGGACUCCUAUUAUAGAAGGUUAUCUCACCACCAUAGUGCCCCCUGCUGGUCUGGUAUUCCCAGAUCUCCUAUUAUAGCAGGUUAUCUCACCACCAUAGUGCCCCCUGCUGGUCUGGUAUCCCCAGGCCUCAUAUUAUAGAAGGUUAUCUCACCACCAUAGUGCCCCCUGCUGGUCUGGUAUUCCCAGGUCUCCUAUUAUAGAAGGUUAUCUCACUACCAUAGUGCCCCCUGCUGGUCUGGUAUCCCCAGGUCUCCCAUUAUAGAAGGUUAUCUCACCACCCUAGUGCCCCCUGCUGGUCUGGUAUUCCCAGGUCUCCUAUUAUAGAAGGUUAUCUCACCACCAUAGUGCCCCCUGCUGGUCUGGUAUCCCCAGGUCUCCUAUUAUAGCAGGUUAUCUCACCACCAUAGUGCCCCCUGCUGGUCUGGUAUCCCCAGGACUCCCAUUAUAGAAGGUUAUCUCACCACCAUAGUGCCCCCUGCUGGUCUGGUAUCCCCAGGACUCCCAUUAUAGAAGGUUAUCUCACCACCAUAGUGCCCCCUGCUGGUCUGGUAUUCCCAGAUCUCCUAUUAUAGCAGGUUAUCUCACCACCAUAGUGCCCCCUGCUGGUCUGGUAUUCCCAGAUCUCCUAUUAUAGCAGGUUAUCUCACCACCAUAGUGCCCCCUGCUGGUCUGGUAUUCCCAGAUCUCCUAUUAUAGCAGGUUAUCUCACCACCAUAGUGCCCUCUGCUGGUCUGGUAUUUCUAGGUCUCCUAUUAUAGAAGGUUAUCUCACCACCAUAGUGCCCCCUGCUGGUCUGGUAUCCCCAGGUCUCCUAUUAUAGAAGGUUAUCUUACCACCAUAGUGCCCCCUGCUGGUCUGGUAUCCUCAUGUCUCCUAUUAUAGCAGGUUAUCUCACCACCAUAGUGCCCCCUGCUGGUCUGGUAUCCCCAGUUCUCCUAUUAUAGCAGGUUAUCUCACCACCAUAGUGCCCCCUGCUGGUCUGGUAUCCCCAGGUCUCCUAUUAUAGCAGGUUAUCUCACUACCAUAGUGCCCCCUGCUGGUCUGGUAUUCCCAGAUCUCCUAUUAUAGCAGGUUAUCUCACCACCAUAGUGCCCCCUGCUGGUCUGGUAUUCCCAGAUCUCCUAUUAUAGCAGGUUAUCUCACCACCAUAGUGCCCCCUGCUGGUCUGGUAUUCCCAGAUCUCCUAUUAUAGCAGGUUAUCUCACCACCAUAGUGCCCUCUGCUGGUCUGGUAUUUCUAGGUCUCCUAUUAUAGAAGGUUAUCUCACCACCAUAGUGCCCCCUGCUGGUCUGGUAUCCCCAGGUCUCCUAUUA